UCACUGGUCGCUCUCUUUCAC
rnacentral:miRNA from 1 species